rnacentral:rRNA from 1 species
AGUGAACGCUGGCGGUAGGCCUAACACAUGCAAGUCGAACGGCAGCACAGUAAGAGCUUGCUCUUACGGGUGGCGAGUGGCGGACGGGUGAGGAAUACAUCGGAAUCUACUUUUUCGUGGGGGAUAACGUAGGGAAACUUACGCUAAUACCGCAUACGACCUACGGGUGAAAGCAGGGGAUCUUCGGACCUUGCGCGAUUGAAUGAGCCGAUGUCGGAUUAGCUAGUUGGCGGGGUAAAGGCCCACCAAGGCGACGAUCCGUAGCUGGUCUGAGGGGAUGAUCCGCCACCCUGGAACUGAGACACGGUCCCGACUCCUACGGGAGGCAGCAGUGGGGAAUAUUGGACAAUGGGGGAAAGCCUGAUCCAGCCAUACCGCGUAGGUGAAGAAGGCCUUCGGGUUGUAAAGCCCUUUUGUUGGGAAAGAAAAGCAGCAGGUUAAUCCCCCGCUGUUCUGACGGUACCCAAAGAAUAAGCACCGGCUAACUUCGUG